rnacentral:rRNA from 1 species
UACGUAGGGUGCAAGCGUUGUCCGGAAUUAUUGGGCGUAAAGAGCGUGUAGGCGGCCUGAUAAGCAGGAGGUGAAAUCCUGAGGCUUAACCUCAGGGCUGCCUUCUAGACUGUCCGGCUCGAGCACAGUAGAGGCAGGUGGAAUUCCCGGUGUAGCGGUGGAAUGCGUAGAGAUCGGGAAGAACAGCGGUGGCGAAGGCGGCCUGCUGGGCUGUUGCUGACGCUGAGGCGCGACAGCGUGGGGAGCAAACAGG